AUUGAACGCUAGCGGGAUGCCUUACACAUGCAAGUCGAACGGCAGCGCGGACUUCGGUCUGGCGGCGAGUGGCGAACGGGUGAGUAAUGUAUCGGAACGUGCCCAGUAGCGGGGGAUAACUACUCGAAAGAGUAGCUAAUACCGCAUACGCCCUACGGGGGAAAGGGGGGGAUCGCAAGACCUCUCACUAUUGGAGCGGCCGAUAUCGGAUUAGCUAGUUGGUGAGGUAAAGGCUCACCAAGGCGACGAUCCGUAGCUGGUUUGAGAGGACGACCAGCCACACUGGGACUGAGACACGGCCCAGACUCCUACGGGAGGCAGCAGUGGGGAAUUUUGGACAAUGGGGGCAACCCUGAUCCAGCCAUUCCGCGUGUGCGAUGAAGGCCUUCGGGUUGUAAAGCACUUUUGGCAGGAAAGAAAUCGCACAGGCUAAUACUCUGUGUGGAUGACGGUACCGGCAUAAGAAGCACCGGCUAACUACGUGCCAGCCGCCGCAGUAA
rnacentral:rRNA from 1 species